CCUGUACCCAGUUCGCUCAGAACCGAGUCCGGGAAGCUUAACUUCCAUUUAGGUGGAACCGGCGCCUCGUCCACGGUGAGGAAAAGGCCUGUUGGAGGCCCGGACGACUGUGAAGGGUACUUGUGGAGGAACUGCAACAGUGAGAUACCUUCAGUCCUCAGUCUCUCAAGACUUCUGGCUUCUUGAUAGUGCAACAAAGAUGCCAGCCCAGAGAUGGAGAAGUCAUUCAGCUCCUGGGGGAAGAAUUUCCUUGACAUCUUCCCUGUGGUCACAGACAGACCCGCCUCACCAGUUGUACAGUAUUUCCUGGAACAGAUUUAUCCUGCCAAGUUCUCUCUGAAUGUUAGUGUGGGCUCCAAUUCCUUGCUAAUCCCAACUUGUGCUGUGAAGAAGAGUCUUGCAAAUACUGAAAAAAUGGUGCAACUCCACAGGUGGAAUUAAUUCCUGGUAUUAACCAUGCUAGGUAAAGGUACCCUCUUUUAGAACUUCGAUGGUUGUUGACAAAGAGUCCCUAGCCACAUUUCCCAGGGGAUCUGCCAGAGCCUCUGCCUCCCACAUUUUUGUUAGUGCUGGUCAUCACCAGUCAGUCUGAUGGAGACAAUCCCACCUCAGUAACUGUAUAUGUGGGGGUUCAUUGGGAGGUGGAAUGUCUUUGACAUUUUUUGACCCAUUUGGUGAUUCCAUUUUGAAUUGCAGGAGUUUGUCCUUUGACCUAGUAAAAAAAAAUGAGUCAUGAAGUUUGAGUAUCCCUAGUAUCCCUUGGGUAUCCCUAGGAGGAAUAGUCAUUUCCUUUGUGACUUCUGAAACUUGUGUCACAGAAAAGCAGUUCCAACCCUAAUGUUAUGAAAGUACUUACUCUGGGGUUUUGCUUUUUACAUAUAAGCUUUGACAUGUCUGGGAUUUCCUCUUCUAAUGAAAACCAAAUGUAAUCAGUUCCUUCCAUAGGAUGUGACCAAACAGAAACCAGACUGUACUGAUCUGAAAAUCCAGAAUAGGCAUCUCACAGGGACAGAAAGAUGAGUGGUCACCUGGGACCAGGGGAAGGGAUUGAGGAGGGACUGCUUGUGGGUAGAAAAUGAGGAAAAUGCUCUGGACCUCGGCAGUGGUGAUGGCUGCGCAACAGUGAAA